ensembl:lncRNA
GUUCUAGUUGUCCAUGUUUCAGGCUUCCAGUCGGCGAAGGCACUAGAUACCUUGACCAUGAACAACCUGAAAAAGCCCCUCAGGUCAUCUCCUCCCUUUAAGCCACCUUUCUGCUGCUUGCAAACAAGGGCAUGCCUGAGACAUCUCACCUGGGAUGCAUCCAAGAGGCAUGGUCAGAUACUCGAACCACUCCAGCUGGCUCCUUUCAGUGUCGAGCUCUGCUCUGAGCCCCUCUCCUGAUCUGUAAUGCUGAGCCCAGACAUCCUCCAGACGAAGCUCAUUUUGGCCGCUUGUAUCUGCGAUCUCAUUCUUUCGGACACUACCCAGAGCAAUAGGUGAGGUAGGAAUGUAAAUCACCAACUUUGCCUUCCUUUGUUUUUUCUUUAUGCUUCUGUAGAGCUGACAGAUUACCUCAACAUUUCCA